rnacentral:rRNA from 1 species
GAUGAACGCUGGCGGCGUGCCUAAUACGUGCAAGUCGAGCGAACAGAUAAGGAGCUUGCUCCUUUGACGUUAGCGGCGGACGGGUGAGUAACACGUGGAUAACCUACCUAUAAGACUGGGAUAACUUCGGGAAACCGGAGCUAAUACCGGAUAACAUAUUGAACCGCAUGGUUCAAUAGUGAAAGGCGGCUUUGCUGUCACUUAUAGAUGGAUCCGCGCCGUAUUAGCUAGUUGGUAAGGUAACGGCUUACCAAGGCAACGAUACGUAGCCGACCUGAGAGGGUGAUCGGCCACACUGGAACUGAGACACGGUCCAGACUCCUACGGGAGGCAGCAGUAGGGAAUCUUCCGCAAUGGGCGAAAGCCUGACGGAGCAACGCCGCGUGAGUGAUGAAGGUCUUCGGAUCGUAAAACUCUGUUAUCAGGGAAGAACAAAUGUGUAAGUAACUGUGCACAUCUUGACGGUACCUGAUCAGAAAGCCACGGCUAACUACGUG